rnacentral:rRNA from 1 species
GAUGAACGCUGGCUACAGGCUUAACACAUGCAAGUCGAGGGGAAACGACGGGGAAGCUUGCUUCCCCGGGCGUCGACCGGCGCACGGGUGAGUAACGCGUAUCCAACCUGCCUCUGACUGAGGGAUAACCCGUCGAAAGUCGGCCUAAUACCUCAUGGCAUCGUCUGCGGGCAUCCAACGACGAUUAAAGAUUUCAUCGGUCAGAGAUGGGGAUGCGUCUGAUUAGCUUGUUGGCGGGGUAACGGCCCACCAAGGCGACGAUCAGUAGGGGUGCUGAGAGGAAGGUCCCCCACAUUGGAACUGAGACACGGACCAAACUCCUACGGGAGGCAGCAGUGAGGAAUAUUGGUCAAUGGGCGAGGGCCUGAACCAGCCAAGUAGCGUGCAGGAUGACGGCCCUAUGGGUUGUAAGCUGCUUUUAUGCGGGGAUAAAGUGAGGGACGUGUCCUUCAUUGCAGGUACCGAAUGAAUAAGGACCGGCUAAUUCCGUG